rnacentral:rRNA from 1 species
GAUGAACGCUGGCGGCGUGCCUAAUACAUGCAAGUCGAGCGAACGGACGAGAAGCUUGCUUCUCUGAUGUUAGCGGCGGACGGGUGAGUAACACGUGGAUAACCUACCUAUAAGACUGGGAUAACUUCGGGAAACCGGAGCUAAUACCGGAUAAUAUUUUGAACCGCAUGGUUCAAAAGUGAAAGACGGUCUUGCUGUCACUUAUAGAUGGAUCCGCGCUGCAUUAGCUAGUUGGUAAGGUAACGGCUUACCAAGGCAACGAUGCAUAGCCGACCUGAGAGGGUGAUCGGCCACACUGGAACUGAGACACGGUCCAGACUCCUACGGGAGGCAGCAGUAGGGAAUCUUCCGCAAUGGGCGAAAGCCUGACGGAGCAACGCCGCGUGAGUGAUGAAGGUCUUCGGAUCGUAAAACUCUGUUAUUAGGGAAGAACAUAUGUGUAAGUAACUGUGCACAUCUUGACGGUACCUAAUCAGAAAGCCACGGCUAACUACGUGCCAGCAGCCGCGGUAAUACGUAGGUGGCAAGCGUUAUCCGGAAUUAUUGGGCGUAAAGCGCGCGUAGGCGGUUCUUUAAGUCUGAUGUGAAAGCCCACGGCUCAACCGUGGAGGGUCAUUGGAAACUGGAAAACUUGAGUGCAGAAGAGGAAAGUGGAAUUCCAUGUGUAGCGGUGAAAUGCGCAGAGAUAUGGAGGAACACCAGUGGCGAAGGCGACUUUCUGGUCUGUAACUGACGCUGAUGUGCGAAAGCGUGGGGAUCAAACAGGAUUAGAUACCCUGGUAGUCCACGCCGUAAACGAUGAGUGCUAAGUGUUAGGGGGUUUCCGCCCCUUAGUGCUGCAGCUAACGCAUUAAGCACUCCGCCUGGGGAGUACGACCGCAAGGUUGAAACUCAAAGGAAUUGACGGGGACCCGCACAAGCGGUGGAGCAUGUGGUUUAAUUCGAAGCAACGCGAAGAACCUUACCAAAUCUUGACAUCCUUUGACAACUCUAGAGAUAGAGCUUUCCCCUUCGGGGGACAAAGUGACAGGUGGUGCAUGGUUGUCGUCAGCUCGUGUCGUGAGAUGUUGGGUUAAGUCCCGCAACGAGCGCAACCCUUAAGCUUAGUUGCCAUCAUUAAGUUGGGCACUCUAAGUUGACUGCCGGUGACAAACCGGAGGAAGGUGGGGAUGACGUCAAAUCAUCAUGCCCCUUAUGAUUUGGGCUACACACGUGCUACAAUGGACAAUACAAAGGGCAGCGAAACCGCGAGGUCAAGCAAAUCCCAUAAAGUUGUUCUCAGUUCGGAUUGUAGUCUGCAACUCGACUACAUGAAGCUGGAAUCGCUAGUAAUCGUAGAUCAGCAUGCUACGGUGAAUACGUUCCCGGGUCU